rnacentral:rRNA from 1 species
GGCGAACGGGUGCGUAACACGUGAGCGACCUGCCCACUUGUGGGGUAUAGCCGGCCCAACGGCCGGGUAAUCCCGCAUACGCUUCUCUGGCUGCAUGGCCGGGGGAGGAAAGCCGUAAGGCGCAAGUGGAGGGGCUCGCGGCCUAUCAGCUAGUUGGCGGGGUAACGGCCCACCAAGGCGAUGACGGGUAGCUGGUCUGAGAGGAUGGCCAGCCACAUUGGGACUGAGAUACGGCCCAGACUCCUACGGGAGGCAGCAGUGGGGAAUCUUGCGCAAUGGUCGAAAGACUGACGCAGCGACGCCGCGUGCGGGAGGAAGCCCUUCGGGGUGUAAACCGCUGUUACUCGGGACGAACUUCCCGAUUUGUCGGGAUUGACGGUACCGGGGGAGGAAGCACCGGCUAACUCUGUGCCAGCAGCCGCGGUAAUACAGAGGGUGCGAGCGUUGUCCGGAAUCACUGGGCGUAAAGGGCGCGUAGGCGGCUUCUCACGCGUGCGGUGAAAGCUCGGGGCUUAACUCCGAGUCUGCCGUGCGAACGGGGAGGCUUGAGUCUGGUAGAGGUCGAUGGAAUUCCGGGUGUAGCGGUGGAAUGCGUAGAGAUCCGGAAGAACACCGGUGGCGAAGGCGGUCGACUGGGCCAGUACUGACGCUGAGGCGCGACAGCGUGGGGAGCAAACAGGAUUAGAUACCCUGGUAGUCC